CGACGAGCCAGUCGUACCGAGGGCGGGAGACUUUCGGUUUCGGUUUCGCUGAGGCAGGGAGCGCGGCGCAAUCCGGCACCCUCGCGAACUGGGGGUCGUGCUGGAUCAGUAGAUAUUCCGGGCGAACGUGGUGUUACAGGACACAUCGCGCUGCCAGUUCUCACAGAGCAGCCGUGGGACUGUCUGCCUGAAGCAAGUUCUCCCGCCUCCCAGCUCUGGUCCGCAAGAUGAGUUUCCCGGGCCACAAGCAGUCGCCUCUCAGCCAGUUGGACAUCGUCGAUAUUUACCGACACGACCUGAUUGAAGAUAAACGAUUCAGCCAGUCCGACCCCCAUGUCUUCGUGGUGUUGGGUGCCUCGUGAGGUGACCAGAAUUGCAU